UCCCCGGUAGCUCAGUGGUAGAGCAGUUGACUGUUAAUCAAUUGGUCGCUGGUUCGAAUCCGGCCCGGGGAGCCA
rnacentral:tRNA from 8 species